rnacentral:rRNA from 1 species
GCAAUUCUAUCUGCAGCCCUUCGGGUGGCAAGCGGCGAACGGGUGAGUAGUAGUUAGCAACUUGCCCUCCAGACGGGAAUAGCCACCGUAAUGGUGAUUAAUGCCCGAUAUUGAGGAAACUUGAAAGGUGCGUUGGUACCACUGGAGGAUAGGGCUAACCCCUAUUAGCUUGUUGGUAGGGUAAGAGCCUACCAAGGCGAUGAUAGGUAGCCGGCCUGAGAGGGCGAUC